rnacentral:misc_RNA from 1 species
AUUUUUAUAUUUUAAACAUUGAUUUUAUUUUAUGUUUUUUAAAUGUUAGUGGUUUUUUAAUGUAUUAUUUAAUUAACAUAAAAAUAAAAAUAUUGAUUGUGACCAAGUUAAAUAAAUAUAUGUAUUUUUUAUGUUGCAUAAACAAAUUGGCAAAAUAGAGAUGGAAGAUAAAAAUAUGGUCAAAGUAAUAAGAGUCUAUGGU